ensembl:lncRNA
AAGCUUUCAUAUACGCAUAUGUAAAUAAUACGUAUUUUAUAUAUAUGUACUUUCAAAAAUUUAUGCAUUUUGCCUAACUAAAAAUUUUAUGACAUUUUGAUUCUACUUGUUUGACUUACUAUUAAUAGAAUGCUAGAUUUCUAAUUAAAAAAUAGAUAUGCAACAAGAAACAGACACUGUAUAGCACAAGGAACUAUAGUCAAUAUCUUGUAAUAACCUAUGUUGGAAAAUAAUUUCAAAAAUAAUAUGUGUAUAUGUAUAUAAGUGAAUCGCCUUGCUGCACACCUGAAACACUGUAAGUCAACUAUACUUCAAUAAAGUAUAUACUAAGAAAAAAAUGAAAGUUGAUCAAAGUUGGAGGUUUUUUAUUUCAUUAAUAUCACCAACACAAAAUUGUUUACAAGAGAUUAUAUCUAAAUAUGUUUUGUAGCACAAAUACUAUUUUUAUUUUUUCCUAUCGAAAAGACAGAAAAAAAGAAAAAACAAAGACAAUAUAUUAAAACUUCUAGUUAACCCUGUUACUACUGAUAAAAUGAAACAUCUUACCACACGUUCUCUGUUCUACUUUUCCUGUGAAGUUGGAGUAUUGAUGAGUUGUUCAGUGCCUUUCCCAUCACCUUUAAUUCCCUUGCUUCCUUGUCUUUUGACUGUCCUGUUUGGCAAAUCUUCAGCUCUUUACUAAGUCAAACAAAUGACUCUUCUUCUUAAACUUAUGCAGCUGAAUAGUAAAAGAAAGAAAAAUUUAUAACAAGGGAGGUAAGUACCAACAAGGAUCUAUAGUCUGUAACAGUAGUUUAUAUUCCCUUUUCCCAUGGAAGGGAUUUCUAACCCUCAUCAUGCUCUUAAUUAAUGUCACUUGCUUUGACAUCUGCUCAAAGAUCCUGGUUUCCAUUCUGUCUUCUAUAUGACAAAUUCUUCUUGUUUUUUGGUGCCCUUCAUGAUUAUGUGAUGGCUGUGCACCUCAACAAGGGCUAUGAAAUGUCUUGAUACACAAAAGAAAGAGUAAGUCUUUCCUACAGUUGAUCUCUUCAGUUUAACAUUGACAUGGGCCAUGUUUCUACUUUGGAAAGAAAAAGUCAGUAAGGCAAUGCUUGUGUUAACUGACUUCAAUCAUGGGUUCAUGACUCAGAGAGAUGCAAUUAAUGUAAACUGUUUAGAGGAAUAAUCCCCAAAUGAAAUGUUGUGACUGCAUUUUAGGUGUGCUGAGCUAUUGGAUCUUCCAUUCCCAGAGGCGCUGAGCAGAGCAGAGUCAAAGGAGCUUCACCUGUUUCUCCCUACUGAUAGCCACUUCAGCUAUUUUCCCUAAUGUAUCCUGAAAGUCUAUCUUAUUGCAUGUCUGUGAUGAUUAAAAAUAUGAAAUUUGAAAAGUUGUGGGUAUUUACAAAUGAGAUUUAUUCUUACUAGAAUCUCAACUCCCUCAAUCAAAAUACAAUGUUAUAAAAAGUAGAUAACUGAAUAAAAUGAGUUGUAUCAGGAUGUAAGUAGAAGUAUGGUGGGAAUAAAUACUGAGUAAGCAAACAGAAGUGUCAUCACACUUUCAGAAUUUUCAUCCUAAUUCAAGUAGUCUAUAUCAUUCCAUACCACCUAAAGAAUAAAAUGUAUAAAUCAUUUUGACCUGAUGCCAGUUGACUUCCCAACAUACAAAAUUGCUGAAAUUUCCCUAAAAAGGUCCUGAUCUUUCUGAUUCUCUGCUAUUUAUACAUUGGUUUAGGGUGUAAUAGGGACUUCAUUCUCUCUAGUUCAGUUAAAAAUUCACCCGUGGUGGAUUCGUGUCAAUGGAUGGCAAAACCAAUACAAUAUUGUAAAGUAAAAAAAUAAAAUAAAAUUUCCUCCUUAUUCAUUCAUGACUACAUUUGUUGAAACCACUUUUUAAAGGUCAAGGUUGAUCUCUCACUUUUCUUCCAUGGUACCCUGUUUAUCAGAUCACAUUUAUGUGACUACAAUUAUAUAGUCACAAUUAAUGUUUAGCUUAUUUGUCUGUCUUUCUCAAUUUUGUGACUUCCUUGAGGACAAGAAUAAUAUCAUUUACUCAUAACUCUCUCCUACCAAGCUCAGUUUUGAUACACAUGGUAAGCUGUCAUUUUUAGGGCAACAGAUAUUUCCUGACUUUUGUUUUGAAAGCAAAACUUAGCUAGGAACUUAGAGCAUAAAGCCAUGUAAGAAACAGUCCUUACCUUCUUUGGUGAAAGAAAUGACAAAUGAAUUCAUUGGAACUAGUUGGUAUACUCUCCUGUAGUUGACCUUGCAGAAAUGUAUACACAUAUUAGCUUAGUUAGAAGCAGAGUGAGAUUUGAGUAUUAGCAUUCUAGAGCUUCUAACAUCUUUUAUAAAUCUUUUCUUCCAAAGUGUUAAAAUCAUAAUAAAUGAACUGCCAACAUUUCAAUCAUUGCAGACUAUGUGAGAACAGCACAAGGUGAUUUUCAUUAUCUACAACAACCAAGAAACAGAAAUGACUUAAGUGCCCAUCAAUGAAUGAGUGGGUAAAGAAGAUGUGGUAUAUAUAUGAAAUGGAAUAUUAUUUCACCAUGAGAGGAUCCUGCCAUAUACAACAUGGAUGGAAAUGAAAAUUAAAAGGUGUACAGCAAAGUGAAUCAGUUAUGUAUGUGUGUAUGUGUGUGUUCUCAGUCCAUCAGUUGUGUCUGACUUUUUGUGAUCCCAUGGACUGUAGUCUACAAGGCUCCUCUGUCCAAGGAAUUUUCCAGUGGUCAUAUAUGGAUGUGAGAGUUGGACUGUGAAGAAAGCUGAGUGCCGAAGAAUUGAUGCUUUUGAACUGUGGUGUUGGAGAAGACUCUUGAGAGUCCCCUGGACUGCAAAGAAAUCCAACAAGUCCGUUCUGAAGGAGACCAACCCUGGGAUUUCUUUGGAGGCAUCAAAGGAUGACUAAACAAUUCUCAUCAAUAUAUUCUGCUGCUUGUCAAAUUCAAACUUGGAAACAGGCCGCUCUUGGCUUGAUCCAAAACACUGGAACCCAUUGUGAAGAUCAGC